rnacentral:lncRNA from 1 species
GUUGCACAGCACACACCAUUGCACACCAGCACAGCGUUGCACAGCACGCAGCAUUGCACAGCACAUAGCACUGCACACCAGCACAGUUUUGCACAGCAUGCAGCACUGCCCAGCAUGCACCAUUGCACACCAGCACAGCAUUGCACAUCAUGCAGCACUGCACACCAUGCAACACUGCACAGCACACAGCAUUGCACACCAGGUAACACAGCACAGUACACACCAUUGCACACCAGCACAGCUUUGCACAUCAUGCAGCACUGCACAGAACACAGUAUUGCACACCAGCACUGCACAGCACGCAGCACCGCACACCAGCACCGCGUUGCACAGCACACACCAUUGCACACCAACACAGCAUUGCACAUCAUGCAGCAUUGCACAGCACACAGCACUGCACACCAGCACAGCUUUGCACAUCAUGCAGCACUGCCCAGCAUGCAGCAUUGCACACCAGCACAGCAUUGCACAUCAUGCAGCACUGCACAGAACACAGUAUUGCACACCAGCACUGCACAGCACGCAGCCCUGCACACCAGCACCGCGUUGCACAGCACACACCAUUGCACACCAGCACAGCGUUGCACAGCACACACCAUUGCACAGCACACAGCACUGCACACCAGCACAGUUUUGCACAGCAUGCCGCACUGCCCAGCAUGCACCAUUGCACACCAGCACAGCAUUGCACAUCAUGCAGCACUGCACACCGUGCAACACUGCACAGCACACAGCAUUGCACACCAGCACAGCGUUGCACAGCACGCAGCAUUGCACACGGCGGCCCCACCUCCCACCACCACCGC